GACGAACGCUGGCGGCGUGCUUAACACAUGCAAGUCGAACGGAAAGGCCUGCUUUCCCUUGUGGAUUGCGGGUACUCGAGUGGCGAACGGGUGAGUAACACGUGAGUGAUCUGCCCCCAACUUGGGUAUAAGCCUGGGAAACUGGGUCUAAUUCCCGAUAGGACUGCAGGGUGGUGCCUGUGGUGGAAAACGAUUUUCUAGUGGUUGGGGAUGAGCUCGCGGCCUAUCAGCUUGUUGGUGGGGUAAUGGCCUACCAAGGCGGCGACGGGUAGCCGGCCUGAGAGGGUGGACGGCCACAUUGGGACUGAGAUACGGCCCAGACUCCUACGGGAGGCAGCAGUGGGGAAUAUUUCACAAUGGGCGGAAGCCUGAUGCAGCGACGCCGCGUGGGGGAUGACGGCCUUCGGGUUGUAAACUCCUUUCGACCGCGAGGAAGCCACCUGGCUGGAAGGGUGGUGACGGUAGUGGUAGAAGAAGCACCGGCUAACUACGUG
rnacentral:rRNA from 1 species